rnacentral:lncRNA from 1 species
GUACAUACUACAGUAGUAGAACAUAUGUCAUUCUAACUUAUUGAGAAAUUGUCAUAUAAUCAGGCAAGUCUAUAUUUAAUUUUGAUUUAUUGUGUAUGAAAAUAAUGUUACUUUUGAGUUGGUCCAAACUGUAUACAUGUAGUAUAUCGUGUCUUUGUUUUUGCAGCAAUAUCUAGAAUCAUUUUGCAUAUCUGACAUGUAGAAUCAAUGGGCAAAGAUGCGUAAUCUACAUUAAAUUGAUUAUAAUUUUAAUUUUAACUAAAAUAUUUAAUAUUUUAAAUUUCUUGAUUCGAGUGACACGUCCAAAUGGUUUAUAAAUAAAUUACGCGUCCAGCGUACAUCAUGUUAAGCCUGGUAUCAUUGAUGAGGCCUCCUUGCAUAUUACUAAGCAAAACGUUAUGACGUCCGUACGGUGUUGGUGAUAAUACGUUUUUUGCUUUCCAGUUCGCCUUUAUUGCAUUUGUUAGAAGUUUUGGAAUUGAUAACUAUAUAAAUGUAUAUAUCAAAAUGUGCGUAAUUAAAAGUAGAAAUGGAAUAUGCCUUAAAGUCAAUACUUUUAUUCAUUUUGUUACUCGAAUGAUCCCUAAUAACACUGAUUUUGAGCGUGUAGACAAGUAACACCGCGAGAUAUGAUCAGCGUUGCUUUGAAGUUAUUCUUGUCAUUUUUUAAACUUACUAAAAACAAGUUGUACUCCUAGCAAGAGUAGUCUUUGGUGUUAAUGGUGUAUGUUUUAUUUAUGACGUCAUCGUUAACUGGACGCGUCUGACCAGGACGAAAAGUUCACUUUGUUUUGUGGUCAAGCCGAAAAUAGAAAAAAAAUAUGGAUAGGGGUGAAGUUAAGAGUGAUUUUAAAAGGUAAUUCAAAAAGAAUAUUCCGAAAAUGAUAUAUCUUUUUAUUCCGUAUAUAAUAAGGAAAAAAAAUAAAAAGUUUUGUUACAACAUUUCAAAAGAUCGUGGCAGAAUUAAUGAUUUUUUCAAAUUUGUAUUUCUGUCACAAAACCCAAAUCUCGCAUAUUUUUUGGAGCUCUUCAAAAUUCGAACGAAUGCUGCAGUUACAAACCACAAUUUACAUAUCCACCCUUCCUGUGUCAAAAUUAUACAAUAAAUAUACAACUUUCUAUGUCUUCAAUUAGUAAGUAUUGUUUAAAUUAUGUCCUAAAUUGUUCAUUUUAUUAAAUCCGUUGAAAUGUCACACUCGCCGUUUUCUGACGUUUUGGCGUAUUUGUUAAGUGUCUUAUGAAAAGUAAUAGGCAGUUGCAGUCUUUUCUACGAUAUGAAAUUUUAUUGAAACGUCAAAAAAAAUUUUUUUAAGUGUAUGACAAAAAUUUGCGUCGAAGAUUUAAGAGAAAAUAUUGAAAAAAUAUUAAACGCGAUCUUUUUGUUUUUGUCUAGUCAAAAUGUACAAACGUCGUUUUUUUACAUUUUGUUACAAGUAUGAUAAGUCAUAUUAUCAGUUUGGAGGGGGAAAUUUGAAAUUAUAAUAGCACAAAAAACUAUUAUUAAAAUCUACUGUUCAGGGAAUUUUGAACCCAUUUUCGAUCACAUGUCGGAAGUAUUAACGACACAGUCAGCGAUACUUUGUCUAGUCAUAAUGCCACACCAUGCUUUUUUACUUGCUUGACGUUACGUUCUGUAAAACUUGACAUGAAGUGCCUAACGUCGCAAUUACGAAUCUUUACGUGCCAUGCUAAUUAUUUUUUUUUAAUUUGAUAUAACGAAUUAUGAAUUUCAUAUAACAGAUUAUGAAUUUGAUACAACAAAUUAUGAAUUUGAUAUAACAAAUUAUGAAUUGGAUAUAACAAAUUGUCAAUUUAUAACAAAUUCAAUUUGAUAUAACAAAUUUGAAUUUCUACAAUAGUUGAUUUAAAUAUAAUAAUAAGAUUGAUUGAAACAUUUCGUAACCCAAAUUGGCGCAUUUUUUUGUGUAUUGAUUCAUUAUUUAUCUGACGUCCAGCGACAAAUAUGUCAUUGAUGUAUUCAAACUUUCUUUACAGUUUAAUGUUCUGAAACCCUCUCCCUCUCCUUUUAUCUAUUAUUUGAGGCAGUUUGGGGACUAGUUUGAACGUUCUCUAUUCAGUACACGGACUGGUGUCUUAGAACGAACGAUUAUAUAGAAAAAGGAUCAUUUUUAUAUUGCACAUUUUCAAAUCAGAAAGAAUGGAUAGUGUGUUUCUAGGGACAUAAGAACAUGCAAGGAUAAAAAAUGCUUCCUUCCAAAAUCCUGGCAUGCUUCUUUAUCAAUUCGAUGAGCACAUACAAGGACUAAUGAAAUCCUUAAGUCAUCUUUGCAUUUUUCUUUAUAUAUGUUUCAAUAUUAUUUUCUACGAUAUGAAAUUUUAUUGAAACGUCAAAAAAAAAUUUUUUAAGUGUAUGACAAAAAAUUGCGUCGAUGAUUUAAGAGAAAAUAUUGAAAAAAUAUUAAACGCGAUCUUUUGUUUUCGUCUAGUCAAAAUGUCACAAAACGUCGUUUUUACAUUUUUGUUACAAGUAUAUAAGUCAUAUUAUACAGUUUUGGAGGGGGGAAAUUUGAAAUUAUAAUAACAAAAUACUAUAAAACAUAAAAUCUACUAAAUAUAAAAUAAGAUUGUUGAAACAUUUCGUAACCAAAUUGGCGCAUUUUUUGUGUAUUCAUUAUUUAUCGACGUCAGCGACAAAUAUUCAUUGAAUGCUUAUCAAACUUUCUUAACAGGUUUAAGUUUCUGAAACCCUCUCCCGUCUCCUUUAUCUAUUAUUUGGGCAGUUUGGGGACUAGUUUGAACGUUCUCUAUUCAGUACACGGACCUGGUGUCUUAGAACGAAACGAUAAAUAAAAAAGGAUCAAUUUAUAUUGCACAUUUUCAAAUCAGAAAGAAUGGAAGUGUGUUUCUAGGGACAUAAGAACAUGCAAGGAUAAAAAAUGCUUCCCUUCCUCAAAAUCCUGGCAUGCUUCUUUAUCAAUUUCGAUGAGCACAUACAAGGACUAAUGAAACACUCCUUAAGUUCAUCCUUGCAUUUUUUUUAUAUAUUGUUUCAAUAUUUAUUUUGUUUGCACACUUUUUAUUAAAACAAGACCCAUGCGCGAGAUUAGAAGAGAAACCAUGCACAAUCGUGAAAGGGAUCUGAUAUAAAAUUUAUAUUUUUUUAUUUAAAAUUAUCAUAAUUUGUUAUAUCAAAUUGAUGAUCUGUUAUAUUACAAUUUAUUUGUUUCAUCAAAUUGAAAAAAAGUAAAUUUGCAUGGCCCUCCAAGACUUCUGUAGCAAAUAUCUUAUCAUGCAAAACCAUAACUUUUUUUAUAAUUUUUUUUUAUACAAUAUCUUAACAGAUUUUUUACCGAUCUAAUUAAAAUUAAUAUCUGUAUCUGUUCGGUGGAGGACUUUUAACGCAUUGUAGGACAUUUAGAGAAAAAAAUCUAACGUUUUUAGCGCCAAAGUAAAGUCCAUUUUAGCCCAAGAUUUUUAACCCAUUCGAGCGAAAAUUGAAAUUAUCAAUGCCCAUUUUAGAGCAAUGCUUUAAUCCAUUUUAUGAUUAAUGAUUAAUGAUCAAUAUUUUUUUAAAUAGAAGCAAGACAGCACAAUUAAAAUAUCAUGUUCAUUAAAAUAUACACUAAAAAUUUUAAAAUCAAAUUUAAGUCCGUUCUAGCCUGGAAUUUAUAUUCCAGAGAACGUACGUAAUGCUCUGGGAUACCCCCUGUACAAUACUGUUCAUAAAGUUGCAGUAGAACUGAUUUUUAUCUUUAUCUUGUCUAGAUGGGGGGCACAUUUGUCUAUAAUACAUUGUAUUUUUAUAUAUGUUGUUGUUUGCAAUUUGAUGAUAGUAUCAAGAAAAACGUAAAUAUAGCUGAGUGAAAACUAUAGAAUUACUUUUAUUUCCAUGAUAAACCAAAGUGAACAUAUAUAUAUACAUACAACUUUAAAUUAAGCCAGCAUAAAUUAAUGCUCGGUUUUAGUAUUAUCAAUAGGAAAGUUUCGCUAAAAUGGGCUAAUCAAUACAGCUAAAACAGAUUAAUCCUGCGCUAAAAUGGGCUCUAAUGUCUGAGCUAAAAUGUCCCCUAGUAGUUUUUCGCUGAAAUUAUCUGCGCCCAUCUGUUUUCUUGUUCUUAGUUUAGAUUAAAUUUCCUUUUGUUCAUGGAAUUGGCAAAUUUGAUUAAAUUAAUUUUAUUGUGGUUAAUUUUGAAUUUGCUUUCAACUGUUGAUUCUUAUAACAUUUAAUACAGGCGAUGAAAUAAACGAUUCAACUAAUCAAAUUUUUAUUCGGAAAUUAUCAAAAGCGGAUAAAAGAAUAAGCCCUUGACACCAUUUGCGAGUAUGAUGGUCUUGUGAAACAAUGAUAGUCCGUCGGAAGGGGCGAUAAAUGACUGACCCGUGUUAAGAGAGAGCAACAUCUCUUGCACGUAAAGUAACCCUUUUAGAUUUCGAAAAGAGCAGACUAAGGCUACAAGGAACACUUCGCACCCUCAAGUGGAAACGGAUUAAUAUAAGUUGUAAUAACUUGUUUCCAAUCCAAUUAUAAAUAAAUAUGUUUAAAUUAAAAGAAAAAGCAGCAGAAAAGACAAUGGUUUAAACUUUUUUUAAAUAUCCUGUUUUAAUCAAAAGAAAGAGAAAAUAUCUUUGCUCCAAGGGGAUACUAAUUUAAAUGAAUAUUAUUUUUUUGUUUUAAUUUAACUGUACUUAAAAAAAUAUGUGCCGCUUUUGCAUUUCGAUUUUAUACGCAGCAAGACAAGCAAACCGCUCAUAUAAAUUAUGCUGUAUGAUUGAGCUGCACGAAAUGAAAAAAGUACGACGUUAUUUAUACAAUGCAUGCCUGAAAAUAACGUCAAACUAACGUUACCAAAACUAACACCAACACCGUACGCGACGUCUAUAUAUACUUAAAAAUCAUAACAGGAACACUUAUCUAAACGACCUGGGUUUUGUUUACUUUGACAAAUUCGUCUUAAAGUUUUACUGUGUACAUUAAAAAAUAUAUUUUAUUCACAAUGUAUACUCUUAUGUUGAACACUUUCUUAUUCACUUUAUUUCAAUUACAUUGAGUAGCAACAACAAAACACACAUAUGAAACUAAUAAGCGAAUGAUUAUCAAAUCUUUUAUAUAGAUCUUAAUUUUAACACUUUAAUCAAUAUAAAUUAAGGAGCUUUCGGAUGCAUGAAAUUUACACUAAGUGUUGUUUCAAUUUUAAAGGUCCCUUUUUUUAUUUCUUAAAUAUUUUUUAGAUUGUGUUUUAAUUGUAGGUAGUUGCUGUCAUGACACUAUCAAUAGGUUUUGCUUUGAUGACUUUAAUGAUUCAUGCAGAAGGUAACAGUGGCGUUGUAUGUCCGACACCGCUAUGUCAAUGUCGGUAUUUACAAGCUAUUUGCUCCGGGGAGAAUCUUACGUACAUUCCUCGCUUACCAGAUAAAAUUCGCUCUGUAACGUUUAUCAAUGGUAAUAUCGGAGUACUUUCACGAAAAAGCAUAAAAAACUUAACUUUUAACCACAUUGAAAAGCUAAAGUUCACAAAUAAUAGGAUUUCUGAAAUUAAGCCAAAUACAUUUACUAACUUCACUUGGA